GACGAACGCUGGCGGCGUGCUUAACACAUGCCAGUCGAGCGGUAAGGCCCCUUCGGGGGUACACGAGCGGCGAACGGGUGAGUAACACGUGGGUGACCUGCCCUCAGCUCUGGGAUAAGCCUGGGCAACUGGGUCUAAUACCGGAUAUGACCUUUCCUCGCAUGGGGUUUGGUGGAAAGUUUUUUCGGGUGGGGAUGGGACAGCGGCCCGUCAACUUGUUGGUGGGGUGAUGGCCUACCAAGGCGACGACAGGUAGCCGGAAUGGGUGAGCGACCGGCCACACUGAGAAUAAGACACGACACAGACACAUACGGGAGGCAGCGGAGGGGUAGAUUGCGCGAGGAGCGGAGGCGGAAAAGAGCGACGACGCGUAGGGAAUUACGGCGUUCGAGAAGUAAACCUCUUUCGACCCCGAGGAAUUAAGACGGUAGGGGUAGAAAAAGCACCGGGCAGCUACGUG
rnacentral:rRNA from 1 species